rnacentral:rRNA from 1 species
GAUGAACGCUGGCGGCGUGCCUAAUACAUGCAAGUCGAGCGAACAGAUGAGGAGCUUGCUCCUCUGACGUUAGCGGCGGACGGGUGAGUAACACGUGGAUAACCUACCUAUAAGACUGGGAUAACUUCGGGAAACCGGAGCUAAUACCGGAUAAUAUAUUGAACCGCAUGGUUCAAUAGUGAAAGACGGUUUUGCUGCCACUUAUAGAUGGAUCCGCGCCGCAUUAGCUAGUUGGUAAGGUAACGGCUUACCAAGGCAACGAUGCGUAGCCGACCUGGGAGGGUGAUCGGCCACACUGGAACUGAGACACGGUCCAGACUCCUACGGGAGGCAGCAGUAGAGAAUCUUCCGCAAUGGGCGAAAGCCUGACGGAGCAACGCCGCGUGAGUGAUGAAGGUCUUCGGAUCGUAAAACUCUGUUAUUAGGGAAGAACAAAUGUGCAAGUAACUAUGCACGUCUUGACGGUACCUAAUCAGAAAGCCACGGCUAACUACGUG